rnacentral:lncRNA from 1 species
CUGCACAGCUCAGUGAUGUCGUCCUGUGCCGUGCCCAAGGUCGGAGCGGUGCCAUCAGUGCCAUGAGCAGUCUCUUGCAGCUGGAAGGCUGGCACAGGCUGGGGGAUGGCUCUCUGUGCCCUUGGCUGGGCUGAGAAGUCUUCUCCCCUCCAGGCAAACAUCGCCCAACCGACGGCUUUCCCAAAGCUUCGGUUCCCAGAUGCCGCCCUUUCCUUGUGCCCUGCAGGCUGUCUGCCACUCUCAGCAGCAGCAAAGCGGUCUGUUGGUCAGCUGUGUCCCCUUGCAGAGCCUGGCAAGAGCAGGAGC